rnacentral:rRNA from 1 species
GAGUUUGAUCGUGGCUCAGAUUGAACGCUGGCGGCAUGCCUUACACAUGCAAGUCGAACGGCAGCAUGAUCUAGCUUGCUAGAUUGAUGGCGAGUGGCGAACGGGUGAGCAAUACAUCGGAACGUGCCCUGUAGUGGGGGAUAACUAGUCGAAAGAUUAGCUAAUACCGCAUACGACCUGAGGGUGAAAGUGGGGGACCGCAAGGCCUCAUGCCAUAGGAGCGGCCGAUGUCUGAUUAGCUAGUUGGUGGGGUAAAGGCCCACCAAGGCGACGAUCAGUAGCUGGUCUGAGAGGACGAUCAGCCACACUGGGACUGAGACACGGCCCAGACUCCUACGGGAGGCAGCAGUGGGGAAUUUUGGACAAUGGGCGAAAGCCUGAUCCAGCAAUGCCGCGUGUGUGAAGAAGGCCUCGGUU